CGCACGGGUGCGUAACGCGUAUGCAACCUACCCAUUACUGGGGGAUAACCCGGAGAAAUCCGGGAUAAUACCCCAUAAUAUCACGUUAUUUCAUGAUGGUGUGAUUAAAGAUUUAUCGGUAGUGGAUGGGCAUGCGUCCGAUUAGCUAGUUGGUAGGGUAACGGCCUACCAAGGCGAUGAUCGGUAGGGGUUCUGAGAGGAAGAUCCCCCACACUGGUACUGAGAUACGGACCAG
rnacentral:rRNA from 1 species